rnacentral:rRNA from 1 species
UCCUACGGGAGGCAGCAGUGGGGAAUCUUGGACAAUGGGGGCAACCCUGAUCCAGCAAUGCCGCGUGGGUGAAGAAGGCCUUCGGGUUGUAAAGUCCUUUCGGCAGGGAAGAAAUCGGCGGGGCGAAUAACCCUGCUGGAUGACGGUACCUGCAGAAGAAGCACCGGCUAACUACGUGCCAGCAGCCGCGGUAAUACGUAGGGUGCGAGCGUUAAUCGGAUUUACUGGGCGUAAAGCGUGCGCAGGCGGCCCGUUAAGACAGGUGUGAAAUCCCUGGGCUCAACCUCGGAAAUGCGUUUGUGACUGGCGGGCUCGAGUACCGUAGAGGGGGGUGGAAUUCCUGGUGUAGCAGUGAAAUGCGUAGAGAUCAGGAGGAACACCGAUGGCGAAGGCAGCCCUCUGGGCCGGUACUGACGCUCAUGCACGAAAGCGUGGGGAGCAAACAGGAUUAGAUACCCUGGUAGUCCACGCCCUAAACGAUGGGUACUAGGCGUUUGGUGCACCGAACCCCUCAGUGCCGAAGCUAACGCGUGAAGUACCCCGCCUGGGGAGUACGGCCGCAAGGCUGAAACUCAAAGGAAUUGACGG